AGUGAACGCUGGCGGUAGGCCUAACACAUGCAAGUCGAACGGCAGCACAGGAGAGCUUGUUCUCUGGGUGGCGAGUGGCGGACGGGUGAGGAAUACAUCGGAAUCUACUCUGUCGUGGGGGAUAACGUAGGGAAACUUACGCUAAUACCGCAUACGACCUACGGGUGAAAGCAGGGGACCUUCGGGCCUUGCGCGAUUGAAUGAGCCGAUGUCGGAUUAGCUAGUUGGGGGGGUAAAGGCCCACCAAGGCGACGAUCCGUAGCUGGUCUGAGAGGAUGAUCAGCCACACUGGAACUGAGACACGGUCCAGACUCCUACGGGAGGCAGCAAUGGGGAAUAUUGGACAAUGGGCGCAAGCCUGAUCCAGCCAUACCGCGUGGGUGAAGAAGGCCUUCGGGUUGUAAAGCCCUUUUGUUGGGAAAGAAAUCCAGCUGGCUAAUACCCGGUUGGGAUGACGGUACCCAAAGAAUAAGCACCGGCUAACUUCGUGCCAGCCGCCGCCGUAA
rnacentral:rRNA from 1 species